rnacentral:sRNA from 1 species
AGCAGCCGCGGUAAUUCCAGCUCCAAUAGCGUAUAUUAAAGUUGUUGCAGUUAAAAAGCUCGUAGUUGAAUUUCGGGAUCAAUAUGUUGGUCGUGCCUAGGUACGUACUGUCAUUAUUGGUUUCUCCCUUCUGAAGAACCACGAUGCCAUUAAUUUGGUGUCGUGGGGAAUCAGGACCUGUUACUUUGAAAAAUUAGAGUGUUUAAAGCAGGCUCGCGCUUGAAUACAUUAGCAUGGAAUAAUGAAAUAGGACGUUUGAUUCUAUUUUGUUGGUUUCUAGGAUCGACGUAAUGAUUAAUAGGGAUAGUUGGGGGCAUUAGUAUUCAAUUGUCAGAGGUGAAAUUCUUGGAUUUAUUGAAGACUAACUACU